GCACAGAGAACAUUUAAAUACGCCAACUCUAAGGUGUCACCGUCCCCAUUCAGCUUUGGGUACCGACAGAUGUUACUUUGAUACAGAUCUGAGGUCCAGCCAUAUGCACCAACAUUCUCGCCCAUCAAAGUCUAUGGAAUGCAUUUCAGCAUAUCGCCAACGCAUUAAUUGGAACAUUAUAGGCACUACAAAUGUCCAAAUAGAACGUGAAACCAACGCGCAAUUAAGCAUUCACGCAAGUCGGCAUGGCAUACUACAUAUAUAAAGCAAGAUACUAUCAUACAUACGUAAUGUUUACCAACUGUUCUGUAUGUUUACAGGUAUUCUUUC